GGGACCGUGUUGUAGCUGUUUUCGUAUUGGGAAAGGAAUGGCAGUUCAAAGAUUGGCCUUUUAAGGAUCAUGUUGAGAUUUUCAAUAAAAUUAUUGGAUUUUUUAUGCGUUUUGAAGACGACAGUUUGGAAUCAGCUAAGAAUGUGAAGCAGUGGAAUGUUAAAAUUAUUUCGAUUAGCAAGAACAAGCGACACCAAGACAGAGCUGCAGCAUUGGAGGUGUGGGAUAGGCUAGAAGAAUUUGUAAGGUCACGGUCUCAUUCUUGAUGUGAAUUUCAUGGCGCACCAUUUUCCCCUUUUUGUGCCUUUACUUGUUGGGGAAUGCUCUUGUUUGGUGUCCUGAUAAUCGUACCGAGACUUGUUCCAGAUGUAAAAUAACACUUCUAGGAAAUCUUAAUGAGAAUUAGUUUAUGACCAAUUAGAUUAUUUGAAAGGAUAAGUUAGGAACUUAGAGAAAUCUGAGUUUAUAUAGCUUACAUGUUGCUAGUGAGAUUGUAUUUGUAAAAGUUAAUGUAUCUCUUGAGAGUUGAGUUUUACUGCUCCAAGCUUAUAUAUGUUUGCUGCAUUGCGCCUAUGCAAGAAAA